UACGUAGGUGGCAAGCGUUGUCCGGAUUUAUUGGGUUUAAAGGGUGCGUAGGCGGCCCUGUAAGUCAGUGCUGAAAUAUCCCGGCUUAACCGGGAGGGUGGCAUUGAUACUGCGGGGCUAGAGUACAGAUGAGGUAGGCGGAAUUGACGGUGUAGCGGUGAAAUGCUUAGAUAUCGUCAAGAACACCUAUAGCGAAGGCAGCUUACUAGGCUGUAACUGACGCUGAGGCACGAAAGCGUGGGGAGCGAACAGG
rnacentral:rRNA from 1 species